GGGGACGUGGUGUACGGUGCACCGCUGCAUGGCAUAUGAAGUUCUCCGCAGAGUUGAUGCAGCAGGCUGGGGUUCGACUCCCCGCGUCCCUU